GCCCUUGAGGCGUGGCUUCCGGAGCUAACGCGUUAAGUCGACCGCCUGGGGAGUACGGCCGCAAGGUUAAAACUCAAAUGAAUUGACGGGGGCCCGCACAAGCGGUGGAGCAUGUGGUUUAAUUCGAUGCAACGCGAAGAACCUUACCUGGUCUUGACAUCCACAGAACUUUCCAGAGAUGGAUUGGUGCCUUCGGGAACUGUGAGACAGGUGCUGCAUGGCU
rnacentral:rRNA from 1 species